CUUGCUUCUCUUGAGAGCGGCGGACGGGUGAGUAAUGCCUAGGAAUCUGCCUGGUAGUGGGGGAUAACGUUCGGAAACGGACGCUAAUACCGCAUACGUCCUACGGGAGAAAGCAGGGGACCUUCGGGCCUUGCGCUAUCAGAUGAGCCUAGGUCGGAUUAGCUAGUUGGUGAGGUAAUGGCUCACCAAGGCGACGAUCCGUAACUGGUCUGAGAGGAUGAUCAGUCACACUGGAACUGAGACACGGUCCAGACUCCUACGGGAGGCAGCAGUGGGGAAUAUUGGACAAUGGGCGAAAGCCUGAUCCAGCCAUGCCGCGUGUGUGAAGAAGGUCUUCGGAUUGUAAAGCACUUUAAGUUGGGAGGAAGGGCAGUUACCUAAUACGUAAUUGUUUUGACGUUACCGACAGAAUAAGCACCGGCUAACUCUGUGCCAGCAGCCGCGGUAAUACAGAGGGUGCAAGCGUUAAUCGGAAUUACUGGGCGUAAAGCGCGCGUAGGUGGUUAGUUAAGUUGGAUGUGAAAUCCCCGGGC
rnacentral:rRNA from 1 species